rnacentral:rRNA from 1 species
GACGAACGCUGGCGGCGUGCCUAACACAUGCAAGUCGAACGGGGUAGAGAGCUUCGGUUUUCUACUUAGUGGCGAACGGGUGAGUAACGCGUGAGGAACCUGCCUUCCAGUGGGGGACAACAGUUGGAAACGACUGCUAAUACCGCAUAAUGUAGCGAGACCGCAUGAUCUUGCUACCAAAGCUUUAUGUGCUGGAAGAUGGCCUCGCGUCUGAUUAGCUAGUUGGUGAGGUAACGGCUCACCAAGGCGACGAUCAGUAGCCGGUAUGAGAGGAUGAACGGCCACAUUGGGACUGAGAUACGGCCCAGACUCCUACGGGAAGCAGCAGUAGGGAAUAUUGGGCAAUGGGGGAAACCCUGACCCAGCAACGCCGCGUGAAGGAAGAAGGCCUUCGGGUUGUAAACUUCUUUUACCAGGGACGAAGAACGUGACGGUACCUGGAGAAAAAGCAACGGCUAACUACGUGCCAGCCGCCGCAGUAAAAC